rnacentral:rRNA from 1 species
GUAGGGUGCGAGCGUUAAUCGGAAUUACUGGGCGUAAAGCGUGCGCAGGCGGUGAGUUAAGUCUGAUGUGAAAGCCCCGGGCUUAACCUGGGAACUGCGUUUGUGACUGCAAGGCUAGAGUGUAGCAGAGGGGGGUAGAAUUCCACGUGUAGCAGUGAAAUGCGUAGAUAUGUGGAGGAAUACCGAUGGCGAAGGCAGCCCCCUGGGCUAACACUGACGCUCAUGCACGAAAGCGUGGGGAGCAAACAGGAUUAGAUACCCUGGUAGUCCACGCCCUAAACGAUGUCAACUAGGUGUUGGGGGAGGAGACUUCCUUAGUACCGCAGCUAACGCGUGAAGUUGACCGCCUGGGGAGUACGGUCGCAAGAUUA